UAUUUUUUUUACCUCGACGGUUUAGUUUCUCGGUCCAGGGAUUUGGAAGCUGUCCCACUACCUCCCGUCGCCCGUCACCUGAUUUCCCCCAUCGUAGUUUUCUAAUCGAGCGUAUGCGGCGGUUGGCGAUUGAGCGGCCGCCGGCGAGCGCAUGAGCGGCGGAUGGACUCGGUGGCCAUAGGAGCGCAGCUGCUGGGCUCUGCCACGACCGUGUCCUCGGCUGCGUCGUGGCCGGCGGCGAGCGGCGGAUGCGGGAUGCGCUGUGGGUGUCCUUCGCUCCGCUGUGUUCUGCCGACAAAUCGACGGCGACCGGCUGUAGGUGUGAUUGCGGCCGGCGGCGGGCGGUUGCAGGCAGGGUUGCUGCGAGCGGCUGCUGCUGGGGAUCUUAUCGGCUUGAGGCUUGGUGAGUGGCAGAUCCUCCUCUCCGCCUCCCACAGCAGCUCGGCCGUCUGUUCCUCCACGUUCCGCACGGCCGGCUAGCCGUCAACUUCGCCGCGCUACCAGGUCAUGCUGCAGCUGUCCUCGUCUCGUCCCCAUACCAUGACCAUACCACCAUGGUGAGCUCUCUUCCAAUCUUCCACAUGUUUGGUUUUUUUUUUUAACGUUUGGAUCUGAAUGUACGAGCUAGCUCAUUUGCUAUCAGUCCCAGUCAUCUAUUUGGCUCACGUUCUUGUGAAUGCAAUACAUAUUAGUUUGUCAUUUAUUUCCUGUUCUUGAAGAUGGCAUAGGAGUGCAGAACCACCGUAAAGAUAGUCUGUCGACUGAAAACGGAAGCUUGAAAAUUUUGCGCUGCAGGUAUGAUGUGUUAUACUGUUAUUGGCCGAUUCACUGGUUCUGUGUUGAAAAUUGAUGGUAGUUUGAAUGAAAAAUGCAUGGAAGUUGGCUAAACCUGUUAGUUUAUUUGCUUCUAACUUUGAUCAUGUUCCCAGCCUUAAUAGAUUUGGCCUUACAGACCAAUAUAGAUACAGUAUGCCAAAUGUAUUUUAAAUCUGGGAAAAUUACUACAGAGGAUAUUCCGGUUGUUGGCCAUUGAGCUUGGAUGACAUUCUAAUUUUUGAAUGAUUUUUGUAUGCUCACAUGAGGCCAUGCAUCAUGUACUUGUAUAUGGGGCCAUUCAGUCAUGCAUUAAACCAUGCAAUAAGUUAUUGUUGCAUUGGUUGUUCUUAUGUCUCAUUGCCACUAAGAACUACAUGGAAAUAAGUUAUUUAUGUUGGUACCGAGAAUUCUUACAUUGACAAUAAGUUAUACUACAAGCUCUGCAGAACUUUGGUUUAACCUGCCCUAUCACGAUAAAACAAAGCGAUUAACCUACACGAUCACGAGUUCAUGCCAUAAAGUUAAUUCCCUCUUUUGCGUUUUGUCAUGAUAACACAUAUCAUUUAUCCAGCUGCUUGUGGUCUCGUAGUUGUAGAGGACUAUCCUUCAUGAGGUUAUAUUAAACAUGUCAGAAUUAUACUCAUGAUAGCCUGACGAUGAGUUAACUGUUAUUCCAUCAAAAGACUGCAAAUUCUUUCUCUGACAAUGUCACACCCACAUAUAUCUCUGAUGUUGGCCGUCUAGGGACCUAAAAUUUUCAGGUGGUCAUAUCAAUAGCCAAAAUGUGCCACCUUUCUGCAGCGUGCUGUUGUGUUUGCCAAUAGGUCUAUUGCCUUCUUGAUUUCAUUAUUCUGUACACAUAAUCUUUUGGGACAGUGCACCUUAAAAUUCUUAAAUUUUAUAUAUAUGUCUGAUGCAGUCGUUGUAAAGGUGCUUCUCUUACCUAUUAACUUGUUAACUACAGGGGUGAACAUAACUGUAUCAUCUGGCUUGAAAAUAAAUGCUUUGUUUGCAGAACACUCUGAACGAAAGAGCUAGAUGAUGUCUUCUAUAAGUGUGACUUUCAAAGCAUGGAAAGAAGCAGCCUGUAGCUCUUCGCUUCCUUCACAAACCAUACAUUUAAAUCUUGAAACAAAGGAUAUUGCAUCUGCAACAUUUUGCGGCAUCCGAGGGGAUUUUGGUGAUGAUCUAGUGUUGGCGUUUCUGUAUUUUGGUGCUCAGAUGUGGAUGAUCGCCUGGUCGUGUUGGUAAGUUGUUGUAUGACCAGUAUUUGAGUAAUGCUAGAUGUUAUCUUGCCUCUCCUUUACCACCCAAACUAUUAUUUUAGUUUAGUUAAUAACUAGUAGGUUGAAAAUGGCUUUACUAGUCUGACGGGCUUGAAAAAUUCCAUUAAAGUGCUACAUUGAUCUUGUUGCGACGACUGAUCCUUCCUGCUGUACUGUGGUAAUGAGAAGUGAUGCAAUUACAUUCUGCGAUUGUAUAACAUAUUAUUUUGUUAAUUGCACAUGAAUAAUUUACGUUGUUUUCUUCAGAAUUAUACUGCUUAGUUUGUUAGUCGUUAAAGAUUUUCUUCUUUAUGGCAUACCGUUUUCUUUGUUUAUGGCUGUUUUACCCGUGUUACAUAAUGUCAUACCUAUUAUUUUUCUUGAUCUGGGCCUAAAAAUCAUCCUAGGAGGAACUGUUAUGCACACCAGCUUGCAGCAAGUAUGGCCUUAAAAUGGGUCACAAAACGGCAACAUGAAUGUCAGAGGCAAUGGGUUAUCUGCUGGAGCUAUAAGAACUAAGAACCCGAUGUCAUAUUCUAGAGAAUGUGGACGAAGAAGAUGAUUAACAGAAAUAUGAUGAUUGUAGACGGAAGCAAUUAGUACUACUAUGCCAUGUGCAAUUAGUUAGAAUGUAAUGAAUCUUUUGUGAUGUGCUCCAUAACUCAUGUCCUGUACUUCGAAGCCGGAAUGUAAUGACUUUUUGUUCUUCUAAUUUAUGAGAUUAUUUGUAGUUCUUGCACAUCAGACAAAAUAUUUAUGAUUCACAUGAUUUUCUUUAAAAAGAACAUUA